rnacentral:rRNA from 5 species
AGUCGGUCCCAAGGGUAUGGCUGUUCGCCAUUUAAAGUGGUACGCGAGCUGGGUUCAGAACGUCGUGAGACAGUUCGGUCCCUAUCUGCCAUGGGCGUUGGAGAUUUGAGAGGGGCUGCUCCUAGUACGAGAGGACCGGAGUGGACGAACCUCUGGUGUUCCGGUUGUCACGCCAGUGGCAUUGCCGGGUAGCUAUGUUCGGAAGCGAUAACCGCUGAAAGCAUCUAAGCGGGAAGCGCGCCUCAAGAUGAGAUCUCCCGGGGCACAAGCCCCCUGAAGGAACCAUGUAGACUACGUGGUUGAUAGGUCAGGUGUGUAAGUACAGCAAUGUAUUGAGCUAACUGAUACUAAUGAUCCGUGCGGCUUGACCAUAUAACCUCA